UCAAAUAGGCUAAACUGACACCUUUGGGAGAAAGAAUGCCUUCACCAAAUAAAUUGAUAGCUGUGGCAAUAGACAAAGAUAGAGGAAGCCAAAUUGCUCUGAAAUGGAAAAUUGAUCAUCUUUUAGCCAAAGGCCAGACAGUUCUUCUAAUUCAUGUCAAAUCACCUCCUCUUGGUUCCCCAAGAUCAAACUAGAUUUAUGAUGAAGCUGGAUGUAGAAAUUUUAAUGAGUUGGAUUUGCAAACAAAGGAAAUGUUUCUUCCGUAUUUUGUACACGAAAAGAUGAUCUGAUAGGAAUAGAGUCCAAUAUUCAGAGCCUGUGGCUCAUUAUGGGAGAUUUCAAUGCAAUACUUCAACUUGAUGAUAGAAUGGGAGAAAGUGCAAUACACGAUAUAGCGGUGAAAGACUUUGAGGAGUUCUCGGGGUCAAUUGGUCUGACAGUGAUGAAAACAAUGGGAAGAUUCUAUACCUGGACUAAUUCACACAUUCACAGCAGGAUUGAUAGAGCCCUGGUCAAUCCUUCUUGAAUGUCUCUAUGGCCCAGCUUCUAGUUGAAGCUAAAGAUCAUUAUUUUUCUGACUAUUCCAUGUUUUACAUUACAUUCAGUAGGAACCCAAGAAAGGUGACAAGACCCUUCAGGUUCUUGAAUCACUUGACCGUUCAUAUGGAAUUUCUUAAU